GCAAUUACUGCAAGUUCAAAUCUCACCAGGCUCAAGGUUGACUCAGCCUUCCAUCCUUUCGAGGACCGAAUCCAGACUCUGCACACCCAAAGAGCAUCGUUCCCUUUUCUCAUAAAACAAUCAAACAGCCAUAAACAUGAUUCAUGGUUAAGGAGGAGCAGCAGCAGCGGAGACUCAGCUCUAUGUGCCAAAGGGAGAUCGGCCAUUUUCUUUUCCUCCCCAGACAAGGUCAUCUCUGAAGGUCACAGUGUUCUGGCCCACCAGCGGAGUUGGCAGCAGAGUCAGUGUCGAGUGUCACAGCUCCCCUCAACACCAUACGGACCGGAGGGGCGGGACAUGUGGCGAGCCAGAGGAAUAUGACAUGCAACAUUGAAUACGACGACAGGUGAUGCCGAAGACAAUGGCAAUAAACACGGGUGUUGGUGGGGUAACAUGGCUAAGGUAGAUGCGGUGAGGUCACUUAGAUGUUGGUGCUAGAUGGCUAGUGGGGCUCGGUGAGUCAGGCUGUGAGCAGGCGGACAGCGGGAUUCCCGUACCUUGAUGGCAAGCUGACAGAACUGUGCAGACAGAUGACGUAACAAAGGAGGGGCUUGCACAGCACCUCUGUGGCGGAUUCAGACAGCAGCUGAGAGCAAUCAGGAAAUCGGAACACAGAAGACAGUAUAAAGCGAGCUGAGAGACAGAUGCCCUCAGUUCCGACUUUAAUCUGCUCUAGCAGUCUGACUUUCACCUGAUGCUGUCAAGUAACUACCAUUAAAACCAGGUUUGCAUCA